rnacentral:rRNA from 1 species
UACGUAGGGGGCAAGCGUUGUCCGGAAUCAUUGGGCGUAAAGAGCGUGUAGGCGGCCCGAUAAGUCCGCUGUGAAAGUCCAGGGCUCAACCCUGGGAUGCCGGUGGAUACUGUCGGGCUCGAGUCCGGAAGAGGAGUGUGGAAUUCCGUGGUGUAGCGGUGAAAUGCGCAGAUAUCAGGAAGAACACCCGUGGCUAAGGCGGCUCUCUAGUACGGUACUGACGCUGAGACGCGAAAGCGUGGGGAGCGAACAGG